CAACCCUAUGCUGAAAGCUGACCUGACUGUGCAAUCAGAUGAUGUAUUCCAAGGCCUAGUUUGGUGAAGCUGCUCAUCUCUCUGGGAGCAGGGAUGCUGCAGUCCCUUUCUGUAUUCCUGUGCUUAGCUGCACCCUGUGACAAGAAUUUUCUUCCUUCUUUCAUGAGACAGGACCUGCUGGAAGUGGCUCAGAAGACUGCAGUUAUGAUGAGUCAAUUCUCUGGAGGGGAGAACAGCAUCACUGGGAGACAGGACCUUGCUGGGGGCUCCUGCAAGAUGUGGCUCUGCAUCCUGUUUUGUUUCUUUAGAGAGGACCGUGGUACAAAAAGUUCUGCACAGAAAAGGUGGAGGUAGGGAGCAGAAUCAACCAAAAGCUCCUCGGUUGACUCACCACAUCUCAUAUGGCUUCACCCUCAAUUUCUGAAGAGAUACCACUGGCUGAAGGAUUUUUCUGUUCUUCUACAAUACCAGACCUUUUAUCUUGAGAAUAAAUUCAAGUGGGCUUUAGUUUUUCA
rnacentral:lncRNA from 1 species